GCUGCCUCAUGGUGUAUUUUCUCAAAGGCUAUUAUUAACAUGUGCUGUAGCAAAGCGCAUUGCAAGAAUCCUUGGGUACAACACAUGUUAAUAAUAGCCUUUGAGAAAAUACAUCAUGAGGCAGA